GAUGAACGCUGGCGGCGUGCCUAAUACAUGCAAGUCGAGCGAACGGACGAGAAGCUUGCUUCUCUGAUGUUAGCGGCGGACGGGUGAGUAACACGUGGAUAACCUACCUAUAAGACUGGGAUAACUUCGGGAAACCGGAGCUAAUACCGGAUAAUAUUUUGAACCGCAUGGUUCAAAAGUGAAAGACGGUCUUGCUGUCACUUAUAGAUGGAUCCGCGCUGCAUUAGCUAGUUGGUAAGGUAACGGCUUACCAAGGCAACGAUGCAUAGCCGACCUGAGAGGGUGAUCGGCCACACUGGAACUGAGACACGGUCCAGACUCCUACGGGAGGCAGCAGUAGGGAAUCUUCCGCAAUGGGCGAAAGCCUGACGGAGCAACGCCGCGUGAGUGAUGAAGGUCUUCGGAUCGUAAAACUCUGUUAUUAGGGAAGAACAUAUGUGUAAGUAACUGUGCACAUCUUGACGGUACCUAAUCAGAAAGCCACGGCUAACUACGUGCCAGCAGCCGCGGUAAUACGUAGGUGGCAAGCGUUAUCCGGAAUUAUUGGGCGUAAAGCGCGCGUAGGCGGUUUUUUAAGUCUGAUGUGAAAGCCCACGGCUCAACCGUGGAGGGUCAUUGGAAACUGGAAAACUUGAGUGCAGAAGAGGAAAGUGGAAUUCCAUGUGUAGCGGUGAAAUGCGCAGAGAUAUGGAGGAACACCAGUGGCGAAGGUGACUUUCUGGUCUGUAACUGACGCUGAUGUGCGAAAGCGUGGGGAUCAAACAGGAUUAGAUACCCUGGUAGUCCACGCCGUAAACGAUGAGUGCUAAGUGUUAGGGGGUUUCCGCCCCUUAGUGCUGCAGCUAACGCAUUAAGCACUCCGCCUGGGGAGUACGACCGCAAGGUUGAAACUCAAAGGAAUUGACGGGGACCCGCACAAGCGGUGGAGCAUGUGGUUUAAUUCGAAGCAACGCGAAGAACCUUACCAAAUCUUGACAUCCUUUGACAACUCUAGAGAUAGAGCUUUCCCCUUCGGGGGACAAAGUGACAGGUGGUGCAUGGUUGUCGUCAGCUCGUGUCGUGAGAUGUUGGGUUAAGUCCCGCAACGAGCGCAACCCUUAAGCUUAGUUGCCAUCAUUAAGUUGGGCACUCUAAGUUGACUGCCGGUGACAAACCGGAGGAAGGUGGGGAUGACGUCAAAUCAUCAUGCCCCUUAUGAUUUGGGCUACACACGUGCUACAAUGGACAAUACAAAGGGCAGCGAAACCGUGAGGUCAAGCAAAUCCCAUAAAGUUGUUCUCAGUUCGGAUUGUAGUCUGCAACUCGACUACAUGAAGCUGGAAUCGCUAGUAAUCGUAGAUCAGCAUGCUACGGUGAAUACGUUCCCGGGUCU
rnacentral:rRNA from 1 species